UACGUAGGUGGCAAGCGUUGUCCGGAAUUAUUGGGCGUAAAGCGCGCGCAGGCGGUCCUUUAAGUCUGAUGUGAAAGCCCACGGCUCAACCGUGGAGGGUCAUUGGAAACUGGGGGACUUGAGUACAGAAGAGGAAAGCGGAAUUCCACGUGUAGCGGUGAAAUGCGUAGAGAUGUGGAGGAACACCAGUGGCGAAGGCGGCUCACUGGCCCGGUACUGACGCUCAUGUGCGAAAGCGUGGGGAGCAAACAGG
rnacentral:rRNA from 1 species